rnacentral:rRNA from 1 species
GAUGAACGCUGGCGGCGUGCCUAAUACAUGCAAGUCGAGCGAACAGACGAGGAGCUUGCUCCUCUUACGUUAGCGGCGGACGGGUGAGUAACACGUAGAUGACCUACCUAUAAGACUGGGAUAACUUCGGGAAACCUGAGCUCAUACCGGAUAAUAUAUUGAACCGGAUGGUUCAAUAGUGAACGACGGAUUUGCUGUCACUUAUAGAUGGAACCGCGCCGCAUUAGCUAGUUGGUAAGGUAACGGCCUACCAAGGCUACGAUGCGUAGCCGACCUGAGAGGGUGAUCGGCCACACUGGAACUGAGACACGGUCCAGACUCCUACGGGAGGCAGCAGUAGGGAAUCUUCCGCAAUGGGCGAAAGCCUGACGGAGCAACGCCGCGUGAGUGAUGAAGGUCUUCGGAUCGUAAAACUCUGUUAUUAGGGAAGAACAAAUGUGUAAGUAACUAUGCACGUCUUGACGGUACCUAAUCAGAAAGCCACGGCUAACUACGUG